rnacentral:rRNA from 1 species
GACAGAGGGGGCAAGCGUUGCUCGGAAUCACUGGGCGUAAAGGGCGCGUAGGCGGGAUGGCAAGUCGGUCGUGAAAUCCCUCGGCUCAACCGAGGAGCGUCGGCCGAUACUGCCGUUCUUGAGGGAUGCAGAGGAGACUGGAAUUCCCGGUGUAGCGGUGAAAUGUGUAGAUAUCGUGAGGAAGACCAGUUGCGAAGGCGGAUCUCUGGGCAGUUCCUGACACUGAGGCACGAAGGCCAGGGGAGCAAACGGGG